UCCAGCGGGCAGUUGCUGCCGAUAAAGGCAGAGGAAAGUCGAGACACGCACGUCCUGGUUGUAAACACUUAAUAGAUUACAAUAACAGGAAGUAGUACGGCGCCCGGCGCAAGCCGGGGCAGGGCGACCUGACGACGGUGAAAGGGGCUCAUAAUGAGCUGCGAGUAGCUAUAAAGUGCCACAGAAACUAUACCGCCGGGUGACCGGCGGGUGCAAGGGUAAACUCCGUCAGCGUGCAACCCAAAUAGACGGAAAUGGGGAGGAGGGCACUAAAAGCCUCACACCCAUAACCGUGGGUAGGGGCGCCCCGCAAGGGGAAGGAAGCAAGUCUUCCUUAGAUAGAUGACUGCC
rnacentral:RNase_P_RNA from 1 species